CCAGCUGGGCUGUGGGGACAGGGGCCGGCUCUCGGCUGUGCCUGCCCAGGAGCUGACCGACACCUGGCUGGCCUGGGUGGGCUGUGAGGAUGGGGCCCGCUCGCUCUGGCAGUGCCCCUCAGCACCCUGGCACCUGCAGAGCUGCAGCCCAGGCGAGCACGCCCAUGUGGAGUGUGAGGAGGACAGUGGUGACGCCACUGAGGGACACACUAGCCCAUAUCCGGAGGGUGGCACCAGCACAGGUAGCUCUGCCCGUGCCUGCAUCCCCCACAGCAGGCUGGCUGGGAUUGCCCUGCCCUCACUGCCUGCCUGUGUCCCCACAGGUGUCCCCAGAAGAACGCCCCCAGCAGUGGCCGUGGGGUCUGUGCCUGUGUCCACUGUGCUGUGCGUGGUGCUGGGGACGCUGCUGUGCCUGUCCCUGGGUGCCCUGGCCCUGCUGCUGUGCCGUGCCCGUGCCUGGCGCCGAGGCCCUGGCAGAGCUGCAGAUGCCAUCUCGAACGCUACCUACGAAGAGCUGGAUUACAAAGCCAUACCUGAGUACCAGGAGGUACCCACUCCCCCAGGUUCCCAGUUGGAGGGAUGGGUGAAGAAGCUGCCGUAUGACAGCGGGGACAGCUUGGAGGGGAGUGACACCGAGGCAGCCGCAGGUAGGACUACAGAGCAGGACCCCAACAGGGAGAGCUGGGGUGUGGGGGCACAUCUGGGAUGUGGUGGGGGUCUGACAGGAUAUAUUGUCUUCCUUGUG
rnacentral:lncRNA from 1 species